CUGAGGUCCCAGUUAGGCUCCACACCCAUAGGCUCAACUCCAUUUAAGUCUGGUCCCAAGCAUUUGUUUUCGGUUUGAGCUACAGUGGAGUAUGCAAGUUGUCCAUGCAGCUGGACUUUGAGUCUGAAAAAUGUCAACAACUUGAAGCCAGAACUUAUGAGCUACAGAGCCUGAUGGUGACUCUGCAAGGGGAACAGUGAACUGAAAAUCCUGCUGCCGAUGAGAAAGCUGCAGAGUGUCAGCCCAGUUCAGCAGUACAGAGAGGAAAAAAAACCUUCUUGUCCUUAUGGGAAGACAAGCAAGUACUCGGUAAGAGGCAGGGAGACAUCCUCAUGAUACUUGCACCUGCUGAUUCAUGAGGCUAAACCCACAGAGAAAGGUAUAUCCUUCAGCAGGUGAACUGUAGUUUCCUUACCAUCAGCAAGUAUCGGGGAGUGGUAGAAAUUGAAGAGAUCAGUCUUGAGGCUCUGUUGAGAUCUGGUGGUGGGUGCUUUUAUGGAAUGACACAAGCAAGCCACCAUGAGAAGAUGGAGGGGUAGAUAAAACCAGAACAUCUUCAGUACUGCAAAAUGAGAUGACCAAAAAAUGAACAACUGCUGUCUUGGAGGAAAAAAUAUCGACCCUUUCUGUGCCUUUCCAGUUAUUUGUCAUAAUCACAGGAUGCCAGGCAUUCAAACAGUACUUAUCUCCACAUUGCAAAAUAAUUUAAACUUCACAGAGAAAUAGUUCUCAGAUCUUCCUGCAAAGAUUUCAUGGCAGAAGCUGUCUUUUAUUAUGGAAAAAUACAAUCAAUGUAGUACAGAUGCACUAUCAAAAGGCAAUCAUAAAAACACCCUUUUGUUACUGACAAAGUGAGCGGAGAAUUAAAGCUGAAAACAUUUUUUUUUUUAUCUA